rnacentral:lncRNA from 1 species
AACAUCUAAAUUCCUUUUGCUUUCUUUGUCAGAAAAAGGAGCGUGAACAUAUCCAGUAGUUUGGAUACAUGGAUAUAUAUCCAUGAUAUAUCCAAGUACUUAAGGAUCUCUGCAUGACAAAGCAUUUGAGGUGGUACCCCCAUAUUGCUGCACCUGUGUGGGUGGAGCAUGUAAGAAGGAGUGGGGGACUUUUGUGUGUGCAUAUGUAUGGAAUUCUUAUGAAUGGUGUGCAUGUAUAGGGACGGUCUUGGUCUCACCUUUUUUAUUCUUAUUUUAUUCUUAUUCUUAUUUUAUUUUAUAAUUUAUAAAAGGAGACAGGGUAUGCUGUCCUUUAUAGCUUAUGGCAAACUAGCUAGCCUGUGGGCAUCCAGAGAGUCUCCUGUCUCUGCCUCCAUUUCACGGUAGGAGUUCUGGAGUUACCGAAGUGAACUAACAACCCAAGCUUUCUGUGGACUCUGGGGAUCUGAGCUCAAGACAUCAUGCUUAUGUUUAAGAUGCUUUACCCACUGAGCCCCUCUCCAAUCUCUCUCUCUCUCUUUCUUUCUCUCUCUCUCUCCCUUGUACGUUCAGACCCAGUGUUCAAGACUCAGUGAUGAACAAUGGGCUGUCGUUUUAUUGAUUUAAAUGGAUCCCUCCACAUUGUGUAGUAGCUCAGUGGUUUGACCUUUGGGGCUUGGCAAGCAAUCAUUAAUAUUAAUGCAAAGAGCUAUAUUUAAAACACAAAAUUCCUCAUUCCUUUAAAGAUGUGAACUGUAAAUCAAGGAAUCCGCUUAUUUUAUUCUUUUAUUUUACUGAUUAUCCGUUGAAUUAAACUCCUUCUUAAUGCCAUUUCUGCAGAAUUCUUGAUAGCAGGUCAGGAGAGGUGGGACGUUAGUCUUUCUACAUGAAGGUAGUAUAAGGGCAUCAUGACAUUACCUCAUAAACCACACAGCUAGCCCGGCAUCCUUUUGUGCCAUUAUCAAAAGCAUGUCAAUCAAUAAGGAAAGAGUGCCAGUGACCAUGGGGAUAGAACGUGAUGGAGUAUGGUAAAGUCAAGUGCACAAGACUCGGUGGAAAGCUCAGACCUACUUAACUGAUUUGACCUUGGUGCUGGAAACACUCACACUGAUGAGGGUAACAGUAAUGUGAACAGAACUAUGUGCUGCCACUCCCAUCCAGACAGAGUCCCCUCUGUCCCUUCUUUACUUUUCUAACAGGCCCUUCUUGUCCGAACCUCCAGACUCAUUCUUUAGUUGUCUCAGAAGGCACGAGGUUACUUUUAUCCUGAAUGCAGGUCUCUGUUCCCAAAUAGUAAAGAAUAUUCAGUUUUCUAGAAGUUUCCUAUUAAGGUAAGGGCAGCUGCAGCCUCUGGGCUACUUUCCCCUGGUGUGCCACCUUCUCAAUAAACUAUAUUUGCAGGGCAUUUGUCUCUGGCAGAAUUACACCGCCUGUCAGGAAAGGGACUAGGACUGAGAACCAAAUGCCUCUUAGGGAUUCAAAUGAAACCUUUCUAGAGGACUCUGACAUCUCCACUCCAGAAGAAAAGCAAAAUGUUAAAAGGAAAACGUCAGAAAUGCACUUUUUAAUCCAUGGGUUUAUUUCCUUAUCAGUUAUGUGAAGCUUUGGCAGCCUUGGUUUGCUGUAAACAUGGCCAACCUUAAAAUGGGCAGCCCUAAAUAGCUGUGGUUGUUUUCCUGCAGGUACUCAAUACCCACACGUUCAAUGCAACUUAUACUUGGAUCAGCUAUUUCCCCAACACUAUGAAAUAUUGUCUGGGCAUAUUUUCAGCAGUCAGGAAUGGAGUCCACUUCUAUCAUGUUUCAAAAAAUGGAAUGUAAAGAUCACCUGCAUCAAGUGAUAGGUUUUUGGUAAUACAAGGAAAGAAAUGUCUGUAUUUUUAUUGAAUAUGUACAUAUAACAAAUAAAAUAUGCUAUCUAAAUGUC